AUGACGUCAUCCCCUGUUGUUGCAGCCCGGUUGAGUCCCUCCCCCAUAGACUUCUUUCGUCCAUUGGGCAAAUUUUUAGUUUGGGCUGUUUUCUGUUGUUGUUUUCCGGUUUGGCCCAUCAGUGUUUGGUUGUUGCUUACCAGUUUUGGAUGUCUGUUCUACACGCACGCACAUAGAAGCCGAAAAAUAUUGCAUCCCACGAUCCCUUCCUCCAAGUUGCUUCUAGCUUGGUUUGCUUUCUCUGUUAGGACGAUUUUAUUUUUUUGCGGGGCUCUGUUAGUAAGAUUUGUGCUUGGCUGGGAUUUUUUUUGCCAGCAGCAGCGUUGCCACAAGCAACGUCCGGCCUAA
rnacentral:rRNA from 1 species